UGAAGCCCAAACCUAAGAUUUAAGAUGUCCUCACAAAGUUGUUGAGGUGCUAAGAGUUUAAGACAAACAUAAUGGCCAAAGUUUAUGGAGUUGUAUGAUUUGUUGUUUUCCAAGUCUGGCCCAUAUGGUUUAUGUGAGGACAAAACUCUGUGAUCUUGAUCUUAUCUCAAUUACAUUACAACACGAGGCAAAAGAUUUCUUCAACUUCACUGUUACUAUUUCACAGCAUUAAGAAAAUAACGACAAACCAAACAAAAUAGUAAGUUGUCUCUUUUCAAACUUUAAUAUCUCCAAAUCAAAGUAACCAAACAAAACAAAAGCAAAAGAGGUUCUGAGUACAAAUACACUUUUCAAACAUACAACAAUUUGAUUUAAGCAUUAGACAACAAUAAUUGAAUAUCAAGAAGAAAAAAAGUCCUAUUACAUAAAAUUGUUAUGAACUGUAGACU